AGAGUUUGAUCAUGGCUCAGAUUGAACGCUGGCGGCAGGCCUAACACAUGCAAGUCGAACGGUAGCACAGAGAGCUUGCUCUCGGGUGACGAGUGGCGGACGGGUGAGUAAUGUCUGGGAAACUGCCUGAUGGAGGGGGAUAACUACUGGAAACGGUAGCUAAUACCGCAUAACGUCGCAAGACCAAAGAGGGGGACCUUCGGGCCUCUUGCCAUCGGAUGUGCCCAGAUGGGAUUAGCUAGUAGGUGGGGUAAUGGCUCACCUAGGCGACGAUCCCUAGCUGGUCUGAGAGGAUGACCAGCCACACUGGAACUGAGACACGGUCCAGACUCCUACGGGAGGCAGCAGUGGGGAAUAUUGGACAAUGGGCGCAAGCCUGAUCCAGCCAUACCGCGUGGGUGAAGAAGGCCUUCGGGUUGUAAAGCCCUUUUGUUGGGAAAGAAAUCCAGCCGGCUAAUACCUGGUUGGGAUGACGGUACCCAAAGAAUAAGCACCGGCUAACUUCGUGCCAGCAGCCGCGGUAAUACGAAGGGUGCAAGCGUUACUCGGAAUUACUGGGCGUAAAGCGUGCGUAGGUGGUUAUUUAAGUCCGUUGUGAAAGCCCUGGGCUCAACCUGGGAACUGCAGUGGAUACUGGAUGACUAGAAUGUGGUAGAGGGUAGCGGAAUUCCUGGUGUAGCAGUGAAAUGCGUAGAGAUCAGGAGGAACAUCCAUGGCGAAGGCAGCUACCUGGACCAACAUUGACACUGAGGCACGAAAGCGUGGGGAGCAAACAGGAUUAGAUACCCUGGUAGUCCACGCCCUAAACGAUGUCAACUAGUUGUUGGGGAUUCAUUUCCUUAGUAACGUAGCUAACGCGUGAAGUUGACCGCCUGGGGAGUACGGUCGCAAGAUUAAAACUCAAAGGAAUUGACGGGGACCCGCACAAGCGGUGGAUGAUGUGGAUUAAUUCGAUGCAACGCGAAAAACCUUACCUACCCUUGACAUGGUCGGAAUCCUGCUGAGAGGCGGGAGUGCUCGAAAGAGAACCGGCGCACAGGUGCUGCAUGGCUGUCGUCAGCUCGUGUCGUGAGAUGUUGGGUUAAGUCCCGCAACGAGCGCAACCCUUGUUCACUGUUGCCAGCACGUUAUGGUGGGGACUCAGUGGAGACCGCCGGGGUCAACUCGGAGGAAGGUGGGGAUGACGUCAAGUCAUCAUGCCCCUUAUGUCCAGGGCUUCACGCAUGCUACAAUGGCUGGUACAGAGAGUGGCGAGCCUGUGAGGGUGAGCGAAUCUCGGAAAGCCGGUCUCAGUUCGGAUUGGGGUCUGCAACUCGACCUCAUGAAGUCGGAGUCGCUAGUAAUCGCAGAUCAGCAACGCUGCGGUGAAUACGUUCCCGGGGCUUGUACACACCGCCCGUCAAGUCAUGAAAGUUGGUAACACCCGAAGCCGGUGGCCUAACCGUUGUGUGGGAGCCGUCGAAGGUGGGACUGGUGAUUUGGACUAAGUCGUAACAAGGUAGCCGUACCGGAAGGUGCGGCUG
rnacentral:rRNA from 1 species